UACGUAGGUGGCAAGCGUUGUCCGGAUUUACUGGGCGUAAAGAGCGCGCAGGCGGUCGGAUAAGUCGAAUGUGAAAGCCCCCGGCUCAACUGGGGAGGGUCAUUCGAUACUGUUCGACUCGAAGGUAGGAGAGGGAAGUGGAAUUCCCGGUGUAGUGGUGAAAUGCGUAGAUAUCGGGAGGAACACCAGUGGCGAAGGCGACUUCCUGGCCUGUUCUUGACGCUGAGGCGCGAAAGCUAGGGGAGCAAACGGG
rnacentral:rRNA from 1 species